UAGUGAGACGGAGAGCAACCAUGUAAAUUCUCAUGCUUAGACAUGAGAAAGAGAGUUUCUCACGUGUAUUCAAAAGGGUGACCAUGCUGCCAGUGUUCCUCAGCUGUGGUUCAACAAGAGGCGUGGCUACAAAACGGAAAACUGUUGAUCCUUUCAAAACUUGAAGAACCCUUGGAUUAUGGAGAGUUCGAUCUUCUCAGUGUGAGUUUGCUUCGAAACAAGGGUUGUUGUGACUCUUUCAACUUACUAACCGAUGUGCAGUAGUCGAUAUUGGCUGGUUUCUAAAAAAAGUACCUAAGAAUAUGUAAGAGAGUGUAUGAGAUACAGCUGAUAGCUGAUGAGACAACAUUGUGUGAUAAAGUGUUAGUGAAAGCAUCGUCUAACAAACUCGGGAGGUUUAUGCGCGUGAAAAUUCACUCUCAUUGAAUGAGUUGUUGUGCACCAACAUCAACAAAGUUACUCAAUCCACAGUGGGUACUACUGAACUCCAGCGACAAACCUUGCAUCGUUGGGCAGCUCACAUCAGCAUUCUAACAGUAGCGAACUGAAGUUUGACGAGAAUAUCAAGCGUGAUACGAAUUAGUGGAACAAAUGCUUUCUUUAUUCUAUUUCCAAAACAUAAUAAAGCACAUGGAGGGUCGUGUAGUGCCCAUUUACUAUCAAACGUUUUGUGUGUGAUGUUUUAUGUUUAUGCAUAACAUUCUAAGACUGUUGUCUUUGGCUAAAUUAUACUUGUGUUACUUAAUUCAGGCAUUGAGUGUUAGUUUAAAUGAACAGUCAUCUUGAUAGCACUAUAAAAAGUUGUCUGAAAACAUAUGUGAUGUGUGUAUGUAAAAUAUACUAAUAUCGGUGUUACUAAAUAAAUGCGUUGACAAUAAACUUAUAUAAGUGAAUACAGAAGUCAAUCAUGAAUAUGGAUAGGAAGAAUAAUUGAAUGUAAAGGAUUUCUGAAACUAACUUUACACAGUUCGAAUUACUGUCGAUGAAUUGAAAAAGAGCAACGAAAGUGUCAGCAGCAACAGGUCAUCAUAAACGAAAAAAUGCCGACGAUAAAACAACACACAAGACCAAUCAACGAUUAGAAGUUCGAACCUCACCUCAUCUGAGACUGUCAUAAGGCGUUUGGAGCACCUUCGUACGCAGUGUAAAGAAACUAGAAUACAAAAAUAAGUCGAUUCAUGUUCAUAGACCUGAUUCAUUCUUCCAAAGUCGUCUAACAACGCGUUGUCUUCUUAAUCAAAUUGUGUGCCUUUUCAAACAUUUGUCUCGAAGCUGUCGAGAGGUUCUAAAACGAAAAUAAAACUGAAAACAAUAAACAACAAAAAUGUUCAAUAAAUUAUUAGCAAUUUUCAUAAAUUCGUUGGUGUGAA